CCUACGGGGGGCAGCAGUGGGGAAUAUUGGACAAUGGGGGGAACCCUGAUCCAGCCAUGCCGCGUGUGUGAAGAAGGCCCUCGGGUUGUAAAGCACUUUCAGUGAGGAAGAACGCCUGGUGGUUAAUACCCAUCAGGAAAGACAUCACUCACAGAAGAAGCACCGGCUAACUCCGUGCCAGCAGCCGCGGUAAUACGGAGGGUGCGAGCGUUAAUCGGAAUUACUGGGCGUAAAGCGCGCGUAGGAGGCUUGAUAAGCCGGUUGUGAAAGCCCCGGGCUCAACCUGGGAACGGCAUCCGGAACUGUCAAGCUAGAGUGCAGGAGAGGAAGGUAGAAUUCCCGGUGUAGCGGUGAAAUGCGUAGAGAUCGGGAGGAAUACCAGUGGCGAAGGCGGCCUUCUGGACUGACACUGACACUGAGGUGCGAAAGCGUGGGUAGCAAACAGGAUUAGAUACCCCAGUAGUC
rnacentral:rRNA from 1 species